rnacentral:rRNA from 1 species
UAUUGGACAAUGGGGGGAACCCUGAUCCAGCGACGCCGCGUGAGUGAAGAAGUAUUUCGGUAUGUAAAGCUCUAUCAGCAGGGAAGAAAGAAAUGACGGUACCUGACUAAGAAGCCCCGGCUAACUACGUGCCAGCAGCCGCGGUAAUACGUAGGGGGCAAGCGUUAUCCGGAUUCACUGGGUGUAAAGGGAGCGUAGACGGCGAGACAAGUCUGGAGUGAAAGGCCGGGGCCCAACCCCGGGACUGCUCUGGAAACUGCCUGGCUGGAGUACAGGAGAGGUAAGUGGAAUUCCUAGUGUAGCGGUGAAAUGCGUAGAUAUUAGGAGGAACACCAGUGGCGAAGGCGGCUUACUGGACUGUAACUGACGUUGGGGCUCGAAAGCGUGGGGAGCAAACAGG